GCUAGUCUCUCUCUCUCUCUCUCUCUCUCUCUUCAAAAUCAAUCGAUCUAUUCAUUGUGUGGAGCACACUGUGGCGAUCGAUCGAUAGCUUCUCUCUCCAUUGCUUCAAAAGAGAUUAAAGAAUAUAUAGCAAAAAAGAAAGUGAAGACCAAAUUAAGAUGUUUUCAGAUUUUGAUGAAAUGGAUAAUGAUUUUGAAGAGGAUGUGGUUGAGUUCAAUCGCUGUGGUAAAUCCUUGGGAAGCAGUCAAGGUUCUGCUUCCAUUGGAUCCAAACCAAAAAAGCAGAAGACAAAUGGGCGGCCUAUAGAUGUUUUCUUCACACCCAAUCCAGAUGUCGUGGUACAAACUUGCAAAUCCCAAGGGAAAAGAAAAGAAACAAAAACUGAUGGCAAUGACCUGCAAAAGGAAGAAUUAAGAGAGGAAGCAUUGAUAAGAUUCACAAGGUGGAUGUAUGAUGCCGGUAUGUCUUUUAAUGCAAUGAACUAUGAUAACUUUGGACCAACGAUUGAAGCUAUUGAGCAAUAUGGUCAUGGUAUGAAACCACCAAGUUACCAUGAGGUGCGAGUUCCUUAAAUUAGAAAAGAGUUGCAUUAUACUAAUGAAUUGAUGAAGUGUCACAAAGAGGAUUGGGUGAAAUAUGGAUGUUGUAUAGUGGUUGAUGGGUGGAUUGACAAGAGGAACCAUGUUUGUUGAGUCCGUUGAUGCCUCUAGCUAUUCAAAGGAUGGACAAAAAAUGUUUUUAUAUUUUUUGUCAAGGUUAUGGAGCUUGUAGGAGAAGCUAAUGUGGUCCAAGUUGUUACAGAUACUGCUGCAUCUAAUGUGUUGGCUGGAAAGCUUUUGGAGGCCAAGUGACGACACUUGUAUUGGACACCGUGUGCCGCCCAUUGCUUGGACUUGAUAUUGGGAGACAUUUUCAAGAUACCUCAUCUCAAGAUGACAUUUGAAAAGGCCAUCGCGGUACGCCGUUACAUUUAUAACCGCCCAACUUUGUUGAAUAUGAUGAGGCGCUUUAUGCAGCUAAAGAAUUUGAUUAAACUGCAAAAACUAGAUUUGCCACUGCAUUUCUCACCUUAUUUAAGAUUCAUCAACAAAAGAACAACUUGAAGAAGAUGUUCACUUCAGAUGUAUGGGCAACAAGCAAAUGGGCAAAGGAGCAACAAGGUAAAAGAGUAGCACAAAUUAUGUUGAUGCCUUAAUUUUGGAAUAGUGUUGUCCAUGCCAUUAAGGUCUUGAGUCCUCUUGUUCAUAUACUUAGAUUGGUUGAUACUGAGGAAAAGCUUUCCAUGGGAUAUGUUUAUGAGGCUAUGGGCAAGGCUAAAGAAAGCGUUGCAAAAUCAUUUGGUGGGAAUGAAGAUAGAUACAAGAACAUCUUUGAAAUCAUUCAGUGAAGGUGGGAUAUCCAUUUGCAGCAUCCGUUGCAUGCAGCUGUGCAAUUUUUGAACCCAAAGUUCUUUUAUUCGAACCCAAAGUUCUUUUAUUCGAACCCAAUGCUAAGCAAGAUUAUGAAGUCAUGACAGGGGUGCAUAAUUACAUAUCAAAAUUUGGUCGCAAGCACUGAUAUUCAAAAUAAAAUCACUCAAGAGAUAACUAUAUAUAUGAAAGCUGAAAAUCUCUUUGGUGUCUGUUGGAUGUUUAUGAUUAGCCUAUGAAGCAUGGGAACUUCGACAAACAUGUCGUUCUUGUACUAGGUACACAAAACACAUCCAAAUUUGUUCUACUUGUCAUUCUUUUUUCUUCUCCUUUCUUUCAAGUUUGAACAUUCUAGGACCAAAAUCAACUUGGUGGGGGGAGCUUCAAAGACAAUCAAUAUGGCAUGCUUGACAAUCUGAAACCAGUGGGCUUAAUAGGGGUGGGGUGCCUUUGCCUUCGCACAUAUAGAUGGUUAUGUCAACAUGUAUGGAUAAUGUCAUCAGCAUGAUCUAACAUCAUUUUUUUGAGAUGCCUUACUUGCUUUAACACCGUGUAAAGUUUCCAUUGGAUACUUCCCUUUAUGCUUCCAAUCUUAUGUACAGAAUUCAAGUUUGGUUCUUUUAAGUAUAAAUGUUCAUCCUAACUUCAGUAUUAAUAAAUCAGAGAAAUUACUCUUAAUUUCAUUUCAAACGAGUAAUGUUCUGGUUUGUUCUCAAUGCUUGGUUUUGUAAGACAAAAAGGCAGGCAACCAUAGACCACAAAUUUAUUCUUGCAUAAAUUGCUUUUAAUGCACAUUAUUUAGAUCAUAAGAGCCAGUGGAGUUACUAGAUUAUUAACAUUAUUACUUAAGAAACAAAUUGAUGUUGUUAUGCAUCUGAAAUACAUUGACUUGUAACAAAUAAACAGAAACAGAAAAUUGAAGCUUGGCAUUCAACAGUAAAGCAUGACUUCUAUGCCUGUAUGUUGGUGUCAACCAAUAGCUAUAAGGUCUACCAGUAAUUUUUUUAUAUUUUAUUUUGGGAGUCAAGUGGGUUGAAAAAAUUGAACAUGGAUUGCAAAACAUGCGAAAUCCAUAUAACAAUGGAUUCCCUGGGAUUGGAGCCUGGAAUUAGUUGGAUGGAGUAAUCUUAUAAAUUGUCUGUUGAACUUUUGGGCAAUUUACGUCCUUCUAAAAAUAGUUCUCCUAGUUUUGCACCCUGCAUGAUGAUGUGCUUCCUUUGGUUAUCACGUUGUCACCAGUUAGGUUGCAUAUCCGAUAUUACCAUCACAAUCUAGUACCUCUUGAUGCUUGGACACUCUGGUAGUUUUCCUAAUAUCUGCGAUAGUGUUGUUAUAACAAGAAGACUGGAUCGUUCUUACUUAGUAUCAAACAAUAAUUGAAUUUGCUCAGUGAUUUUGUUGAAUACAUGAGUCCCUGAUUUCCUCUGGAAUUUGCAUGCUCAUUCACUUAUUAUGAUUGCUUAUCCUGUAAAAUGAAAAUCAGAAUCUGUGCUUGUCCAAGAAGUUCCAAUGAUUUGAUACAGCUGCCUGAUCUUCUGCAUUUUCAGUAGCAAGUGAAUAGCUUAAAACAGUUAGCCUCUCUUGAAAGAAAUUGAGGAGCUAGGCGCUUGCAUUUCAAGGAAAGACAAUGAUAGCUACCCGCAUUCUAUUAUCUGCAACAAUUUUGUUCUUCUUCUAAAGGUCUACUGGUUCAGUGGCUAAUACUCUGCCUACUAACCUUAAAGUUGUGAGUUCUAAACUGAGGAAAGCUACUUUGUGCGGUGAUGCCAAAGGUUAAAUGUCACUGACAGGUGUCACAUAUGUUGGAAAGAGAUGAUCAUGGACCCUCGUGUAUCCAAUCUCACCCUUGCGAUUGGUGUGAACCUUCCCAUGCAUUGAUUGUUGUGUUGGACAGAAUGUUUGAUUGAUUGUAGAUGGAUGAAGCACAGACCACUGCAAUAGGUUGCUUCUGGUCUGAAAUUGGCUAAAUUAUUUUCCACAAAUCCUGAAAAGGGAUAUAUACACAUCAAAAACAGUUCAUCCAUGGAAUUUUGAAUCAUUAGUACAAGAUGAAAGCAGGGUAGAGGUGCUUUUAGAGUGCUGCGUGAUUAUUGAUUAUUACCUGGUUAUUCAAUGCCAUAACAUAGCCUCAUCAUAUGUAAUUUCACCAAUCAAAUCAAAUUUGAUUAGUGAAAUUAAAUUUUGAUUCUGUACUCUCAUUCACUGUUUUUACCAUGCUUACUAGUCUUAUUAAAUGGAAAAUUUAGAAUGAAGUUAUAAACAAACCCAUGCUAUAUGCUUCAAUAGUUAGACUGCCUGGCUGUCAUGGAAUAAUAAAUUCAUAUUAUUGGGUGUAGCUAUUAUGGUAAGUGUUGAGAUGGAUGAAUUUAUGUCUUUGCAAGCAAUUAUAUGGUUCUGCUUGUUAGUGGUUAAAAGUGGCUCCAAUCAGAGAUAAAAUGAGAGAGUUGGCUAAGAUGGUUAAUUUGUUAGGAAAUUAUUUGGUUCAAGUGUUCUUGUAUCAAUUAGAAGGCUUGGAAGAAACGUGGCAUUUCGGCCAUUAGAUGAGAUAUGAUGGCCUUUUAUUUAGAGAAAGAUGGCCCAAGAACGAACAAAGUAGCAGAAAAGAUUUGUAGCGCUACCACCAACAAAUAUUACCGCCUUUACAGAAGUGGUAUCACUGCUUGCGACAUGUCAUAAAAGUUGGUGCAUGUUGCUAGGUGUUGUGGUAUUCCAUAGUAGAAGCUGUGAACUUCUUGUAGUCUUUGUUUUAGUCUGAUAGCAUUUAUGUGAGAGAUGGGUACUUUUUCUUCAUUGUAUUGGUUUUAUUGAUGCUGACUUGGUGAGUUUAAAUCCCAUGAUAUCUUUAUUUAACCAACCUAAACUCAUCAUAUUCUCGUUGGAUUUGUUGGAAAUGGAGUGAAAUAUGUUGGGCCUUGCUUGAAACCCUUUUAUCA